UACAGAGGUCUCAAGCGUUGUUCGGAUUCAUUGGGCGUAAAGGGUGCGUAGGCGGCGCGGUAAGUCGGGUGUGAAAUCUCGGAGCUUAACUCCGAAACUGCAUUCGAUUCUGCCGUGCUUGAGGACUGGAGAGGAGACUGGAAUUUACGGUGUAGCGGUGAAAUGCGUAGAUAUCGUAAGGAAGACCAGUGGCGAAGGCGGGUCUCUGGACAGUUCCUGACGCUGAGGCACGAAGGUCAGGGGAGCAAACGGG
rnacentral:rRNA from 1 species